rnacentral:tRNA from 1 species
AUUUAUAUAGUAUAUAAAAUAUAUUUAAUUUCCAAUUAAAAGAUUUAAUUAAAAAUUAAUAUAAAUA